AUUGAACGCUGGCGGCAGGCUUAACACAUGCAAGUCGAGCGGAGUGAAGUAGCUUGCUACUGAUCUUAGCGGCGGACGGGUGAGUAAUGCUUAGGAAUCUGCCUAUUAGUGGGGGACAACAUUUCGAAAGGAAUGCUAAUACCGCAUACGUCCUACGGGAGAAAGCAGGGGAUCUUCGGACCUUGCGCUAAUAGAUGAGCCUAAGUCGGAUUAGCUAGUUGGUGGGGUAAAGGCCUACCAAGGCGACGAUCUGUAGCGGGUCUGAGAGGAUGAUCCGCCACACUGGGACUGAGACACGGCCCAGACUCCUACGGGAGGCAGCAGUGGGGAAUAUUGGACAAUGGGCGGAAGCCUGAUCCAGCCAUGCCGCGUGUGUGAAGAAGGCCUUAUGGUCGUAAAGCACUUUAAGCGAGGAGGAGGCUACUUUAGUUAAUACCUAGAGAUAGUGGACGUUACUCGCAGAAUAAGCACCGGCUAACUCUGUGCCAGCAGCCGCCGUAACAC
rnacentral:rRNA from 1 species